rnacentral:lncRNA from 1 species
CACUUCAUAUCCAAGCCUUCCAUUGGCUGGAUCAAGGCACGCCUCCAGACGUGACGUCACAGGCUUCCUCCUUUCUGCGGUUUUCACCCAGGCUGGGGCGCCCAGCGUUCUUUGAAAAAGGGGCUGCCAGCGAAGCAGCUCGAGCUCCGUCCGCCUCCCGCCCGCCCCUCCCCCUUCCCGGGCCUGCCUCAUCCUCGGUGGGAGUUCCCUGUGUGUGGGAGUUUCCCCCUCCAGAGGCCAGCGAACAAACGUCACAGGCCCGGAUCUUCAACUCC